GACGAACGCUGGCGGCGUGCUUAACACAUGCAAGUCGAACGAAGUGGCGAACGGGUGAGUAAUACGUGGGUAACUGCCCUCCUUUUUGGGAUAAGCCUUGGAAACGGGGUCUAAUACCGAAUAAAGGGGGAUGACGCGCGGCCUAUCAGCUUGUUGGUGGGGUGAUGGCCUACAAAGGCGGUGACGGGUAGCCGGCCUGAGAGGGUGACCGGCCACAUUGGGCUGGGAUACGGGCCAGACUCCUACGGGAGGCAGCAGUGGGGAAUAGUGCACAAUGGGGGAAACGCUGAUGCAGCAACGCCGCGUGCGGGAUGACGGCCGUCGGGUUGUAAACCGCUUGCAGCCAUAACGCGGUAGUGACAGAAGAAGCACCGGCUAACUACGUGCCAGCAGCCGCGGUAAUUC
rnacentral:rRNA from 1 species